CUUAGUGGCUAAUACUGGCAAAGAACAUGGACGCGACCUAUUUGCUUUAAACAAGUUGACUCGGGAGAUUUUGUAUGAAGACAUAGUGAUAUUGUAAAAUGUUGAUCCGUUAUCGGUGUUUUAGCAAUCAUGACUUCAUGGAACAGGAAACUCACAGACACAGAAGAAACGUAACCACUCAUGGUACGUGUUAUAGAAAAAUGGGGAUAAUAGACUUGGUUAAGUGAUUUUUGCCAACAAUCCACGUGAAGACGAGAUAAAUCAUUGUGUCUUCAUAUCUAUGUAAAUAUUAUGAAAUAAAAUUAUAGAAAAUCACAA